rnacentral:rRNA from 1 species
AGGUAGUUGGUGGGGUAAUGGCUCACCAAGCCUAUGACGGAUAGUUGGUCUGAGAGGACGACCAGCCACAAUGGAACUGAGACACGGUCCAUACUCCUACGGGAGGCAGCAGUGAGGAAUCUUCCGCAAUGGGCGAAAGCCUGACGGAGCGACACCGCGUGGAGGAUGACGCGUUUACUCGUGUAAACUCCUUUUCUGUGGGAAGAUAAUGACGGUACCACAGGAAUAAGGGGCGGCAAACUACGUGCCAGCAGCCGCGGUAAUACGUAGGCCCCAAGCGUUAUCCGGAAUUACUGGGUGUAAAGCGUCUGUAGGUGGGGAUGCAAGUCUCUCAUGAAAGACCGGAGCUCAACUCCGUGUUUGUGAGAGAUACUACAUUUCUAGAAUCGGGGAGAGGGAAGCAGAAUUGUAUGAGUAGGGGUGCAAUCCGUUGAUACAUACAAGAAUACCAAAAGCGAAGGCAGCUUCCUGGAACCGUAUUGACACUGAGAGACGAAAGCGUGGGGAGCGAAAAGGAUUAGAUACCCUUGUAGUCCACGCCCUAAACGAUGGGUACUGAGUGUUGGGACUUGUUCCCAGUGCUUCAAGCUAACGCAUUAAGUACCCCACCUGAGGAGUACGGCCGCAAGGUUAAAACUCAAAUGAAUAGACGGGGACCCACACAAGCAGUGGAUCAUGUGGUUUAAUUCGACAAUAAACGGGGAACCUUACCUAGGCUUGACAUCCUACGAAUCCGGCGGAAACGUUGGAGUGCUCGCAAGAGAAUGUAGAGACAGGCGCUGCAUGGUUGUCGUCAGCUCGUGCCUUGAGGUGUUCGGUUAAGUCCGUUAACGAGCGCAACCCACGUCAUUAGUUACUAUGUCUAAUGAGACUGCCUGAGUUAAUCAGGAGGAAGGUGUGGAUGACGUCAAAUCAGCAUGGCCCUUAUGCCUAGGGAUACACACAUGAUACAAUGGUCGGUACAAAGGGUUGCAACACCGCGAGGUGAAGCUAAUCCCAUAAAGCCGAUCUCAGUCCAGAUUGGAGGCUGCAACUCGCCUCCAUGAAGUUGGAAUUGCUAGUAAUCGUGAAUCAGACAUGUCACGGUGAAUAUGUUCCUGGGUCUUGUACUCACCGCCCGUCAUGGCAUGGAAGGUGGUUCUGCUGGAAGCCCCCGAAGCAAUAUUGGGGUCCAUAGUAAAAUCACUAACUGGGCUAAAGUCGGAACAAGGUAUCCGUACGAGAACGUGCGGAUG